rnacentral:rRNA from 1 species
CCUACGGGUGGCAGCAGUGGGGAAUAUUGCACAAUGGGGGAAACCCUGAUGCAGCGACGCCGCGUGAAGGAUGAAGUAUUUCGGUAUGUAAACUUCUAUCAGUAGGGAAGAAAAUGACGGUAUUUGUCUAAGAAGCCCUGGCCAAGUACGUGCCAGCAGCCGCGGUAAUACGGAGGGGGCAAGCGUUAUCCGGAAUUACUGGGUGUAAAGGGAACGUAGGUGGCUGGGCAAGUCUGAUGUGAAAGCCCGGGGCUCAACCCCGGGACGGCAUUUGAAACUGGCAGGCUAGAGUGUCGGAGAGGGGAGUAGAAUUCCAGGUGUAGCGGUGAAAUGCGUAGAUAUUAGGAGGAACACCAGUGGCGAAGGCGGCUUGCUGGACAAUGACUGACGUUGAGGCGCGAAAGCGUGGGGAGCAAACAGGAUUAGAUACCCGAGUAGUC